rnacentral:lncRNA from 1 species
AGUAUUGGGAGACCAUGGGGUAACUCUUAACCUGGUUCCUGAUUUGAUUCUGCGGUAGCAGGAGAACAACUUUCCUCUUAAGGUGUGCAGGUAACAAAUCACAGGUGCAACUGGAAUAGCCGUCACUGGCUCUGCAGCACUCCAAGUUGAGAUAGGAUCCCUGCCUUAAGGACCUGGUUCUACUCCUGUGAACUCCGCGUUAAAAUUCUUACCAACAUCUGUAUAAGAUCUGACCUGAAAUGCAGGAGAGGUAACCUUUUUCAUCUGUAUUUGCACUGAAUCUGAGACUGUCUCUGGAGAGCUGUUCACAAAUUCUCCCUAUUCUUGGCCAAGCCUAAAGGUAAACAUUCUUUCUGCAGAAAUGCUCAGUCCAGUUUAUAUAUGUGCAUAUUCACACAUUGGGAAA